rnacentral:rRNA from 1 species
GAUCAUGGCUCAGGACGAACGCUGGCGGCGUGCUUAACACAUGCAAGUCGAACGAUGAAGCUGGAGCUUGCUCCGGUGGAUUAGUGGCGAACGGGUGAGUAACACGUGAGCAAUCUGCCCUUGACUCUGGGAUAACUGCGGGAAACUGUAGCUAAUACCGGAUACGAGACUUGGAGGCAUCUCCAGGUCUGGAAAGAAUUUCGGUCAAGGAUGAGCUCGCGGCCUAUCAGCUAGUUGGUGAGGUAAUGGCUCACCAAGGCGACGACGGGUAGCCGGCCUGAGAGGGUGACCGGCCACACUGGGACUGAGACACGGCCCAGACUCCUACGGGAGGCAGCAGUGGGGAAUAUUGCACAAUGGGCGAAAGCCUGAUGCAGCAACGCCGCGUGAGGGAUGAAGGCCUUCGGGUUGUAAACCUCUUUUAGCAGGGAAGAAGCGAAAGUGACGGUACCUGCAGAAAAGCACCGGCUAACUACGUG